rnacentral:rRNA from 1 species
GAUGAACGCUGGCGGCGUGCCUAAUACAUGCAAGUCGAGCGAACAGACGCGGAGUUUGCUCCUCUGACGUUAGCGGCGGACGGGUGAGUAACACGUGGAUAACCUACCUAUAAGACUGGGAUAACUUCGGGAAACCGGCGCUAAUACCGGAUAAUAUAUUGAACGGCAGGGUUGAGUAGUGAAAUACGGUUUUGGUGUCACUUAUAGAUGGAUCCUCGCCGUAUUAGCUAGUUGGUAAGGUAACGGCUUACCAAGGCAACGAUGCGUAGCCGACGUGAGCGGGUGAACGCCCACACUGGAACUGUGACACGGUCCAGACUCCUACGGGAGGCCGCAGUACGGAAUCGUGCGAGAUGGGCGGAAGCCUGAAGGAGCAGCGCCGCGUGAGUGAUGCAGGUCUUCGGAUCGUAAAACUCUGUUAUUGUGGAAAAACAAUUGUGUAAGUAACUAUGCGCGUCUUGACGGUACCUAAUCAGAAAGCAACGGCUAACUACGUG